AUGAUCAAGGUGCAGAAGCUCGUGCUCAACAUCUCCGUCGGCGAGAGCGGCGAUCGCCUCACUCGAGCUGCCAAGGUGUUGGAGCAGCUGAGCGGGCAGUCGCCAGUUUUCUCCAAGGCGAGGUACACUGUCAGGUCUUUCGGCAUUCGGCGUAAUGAGAAGAUUGCCUGCUACGUGACAAUCAGGGGUGAGAAGGCAAUGCAGCUUCUCGAGAGUGGGCUGAAGGUGAAGGAGUACGAGCUCCUGAGGAGGAACUUCAGUGACACUGGUUGCUUUGGGUUUGGUAUUCAGGAGCACAUUGAUCUUGGCAUGAAGUAUGACCCAUCUACCGGCAUCUACGGUAUGGACUUCUUCGUGGUUCUGGAGCGAGCUGGAUACCGAGUCUCCCGCCGGCGCCGAUGCAAGGCCCGUGUUGGGAUUCACCAAAGGGUGACCAAGGAAGACGCCAUGAAGUGGUUCCAGGUCAAGUAUGAGGGUGUCAUCCUGAACAAGUCCCACGCUAGCUAG
rnacentral:rRNA from 1 species